UCCAUGUGUCUAUCUCGAAUGUCUGUCUGUGUCUGUCCCUUCAGACACCAACAGGAGCACACUAGAGACCCUGUUAUCCUCAAUGCUCUACUGCACGUCUGCAAGACCAUGCACGACACUGUAAAGUAAAUAGUCAACUGUGGGUGGGUGUGUUAUAAAGUGACCCCACUCUCUCUGUGUCCUUUAGUGCGCUGACUCUGGAGGAUGAGAAGAGAUCUCUGGCCUUACUGAUCAAUGGCUUCAUACGCAUGGCUGUGAACCAGCUGGCCAUGGAGACAAGCUGUGUGAUGAGGGGGAGCCACUCCCAUAAGACUGCUGCUUGAGUCAGGGUGAGGACACUAGAAUUCAUCAAGCUCCAGGCCCAGCAGCCAGACAUGGUUCAACACCUCACCCUGCAGUCUAGGACCUGAGGCCAUCAACUACAUCCCCUGUCCCAUACAUCUACAGUGCCUUAAGAAUGUAUUCCCACCCCUUGACUUUAACAUUUUGUGAUACAGCCUGAAUUUUAAAAUUAUUACAUUUAGAUUUUUUUGUCACUGGCCUACACACAAUACCCCAUAAUGUCA